UCCAUCCCCUUGCCUUUGCGUUACAGGGGGCAAAGAAUAGGCUUUGAAACAGAUGCCACAUUUCUAAAUGGGACUAGAAGACGCGCAACUCUGAUAAUUGAGCCACCAAACGAUGGAGAUAACGUCGUGUACAAAGUGUUGAGAACCAACUACGUCGAAUACGCCUUGGUCGUGGCUUGCAGUAAAAAUAAGUCUUCUUCAGCACGAUGGGCUUGGAUCCAGUCCAGGAGACCCACACUGCACCGUGACACCAGAGCUGUUCUACGUCGCGUGCUCCAUGCAUUCGGUUUUCCCAGAGACACCAUCGUUCCACAGGACUUCGAUGACUGCGACGGUGGGUCCAACAGUACGUCACCUGUCCCAGAAAGGACACACCGCAGACUUCUACUUUUCCGCUGACACCUUUGUGUUCCGCGUACUGCACCCAUGGACCAGUGAUAAAGGCUAGUCAGAGAAACUUGUGGUAACACCACGCGCGGGCAUUCAGUUGAUAAAUUAGACGA